UGCCUUUAAAGUAUUGACCAUCAAAAAAUGCCUUGCCAUUCACAACCCAAUUUCAAUACCUUAAGAGUAAAUCUAAUCAGCGUCAGUGAACCAAUCGGCAUGCAGCAUGCUUCUACCAAGCGCUAAUAAGGCACACAGGAAAAUA